AUUGAACGCUGGCGGCAGGCCUAACACAUGCAAGUCGAAUGGUAACAGGAAACAGCUUGCUGUUUCGCUGACGAGUGGCGGACGGGUGAGUAAUGUCUGGGAAACUGCCUGAUGGAGGGGGAUAACUACUGGAAACGGUAGCUAAUACCGCAUAACGUCGCAAGACCAAAGAGGGGGACCUUCGGGCCUCUUGCCAUCAGAUGUGCCCAGAUGGGAUUAGCUAGUAGGUGGGGUAACGGCUCACCUAGGCGACGAUCCCUAGCUGGUCUGAGAGGAUGACCAGCCACACUGGAACUGAGACACGGUCCAGACUCCUACGGAGGCAGCAGUGGGGAAUAUUGCACAAUGGGCGCAAGCCUGAUGCAGCCAUGCCGCGUGUA
rnacentral:rRNA from 1 species